CCUACGGGGGGCAGCAGUGGGGAAUAUUGGGCAAUGGGCGCAAGCCUGACCCAACAACGCCGCGUGAAGGAAGAAGGCUUUCGGGUUGUAAACUUCUUUUGUCAGGGACGAAGCAAGUGACGGUACCUGACGAAUAAGCCACGGCUAACUACGUGCCAGCAGCCGCGGUAAUACGUAGGUGGCAAGCGUUAUCCGGAUUUACUGGGUGUAAAGGGCGUGUAGGCGGGGAAGCAAGUCAGAUGUGAAAACCACGGGCUCAACCUGUGGCCUGCAUUUGAAACUGUUUUUCUUGAGUGCUGGAGAGGCAAUCGGAAUUCCGUGUGUAGCGGUGAAAUGCGUAGAUAUACGGAGGAACACCAGUGGCGAAGGCGGAUUGCUGGACAGCAACUGACGGUGAGGCGCGAAAGCGUGGGGAGCAAACAGGAUUAGAUACCCGAGUAGUC
rnacentral:rRNA from 1 species